CCUACGGGUGGCAGCAGUGGGGAAUAUUGCACAAUGGGCGAAAGCCUGAUGCAGCAACGCCGCGUGAGCGAUGAAGGCCUUCGGGUCGUAAAGCUCUUUCCUCAAGGACGAUAAUGACGGUACUUGAGGAGGAAGCCCCGGCUAACUACGUGCCAGCAUCCGCGGUAAUCCGUAGGGCGCUAGCGUUAUCCGGAAUUACUGGGCGUAAAGGGUGCGUCGGUGGGUUCUUAAGUCAGAGGUGAAAGGGUACGGCUCAACCGUAGUAAGCCUUUGAAACUGGGAAACGUGAGUGCAGGAGAGGAGAGUGGAAUGCGUAGUGUAGCGGUGAAAUGCGUAGAUAUUAGGAGGAACACCAGUUGCGAAGGCGGCUCUCUGGACUGUAACUGACACUGAGGCACGAAAGCGUGGGGAGCAAACAGGAUUAGAUACCCUUGUAGUC
rnacentral:rRNA from 1 species